CCCCACAGCUCCCUCCUUCUCGGAGAGGCCCUCGGUGCUAGAAGAAUCCUAACCAGUGUACUGGUUCCUGCGGCUGCUCGAACGAAGCCAGUGCCUUAAACAACACACAUUUACUCUUUGCGCUUGUGGCCGGAAGUCCGGACCCUCACAAUUGCCUCGGGCACCCGGAUAAUGCAGGAUAAUUUCCCUGCGUUCAGACGAGGAAACUGAGGCCCAGGGAGGUGGGCAACUCCUACGAGCUGGAGAAGCCGGGAAGUGGUGGAGAGUCGGCGCCUGGGCUCCGGGCUCCCAGCAGUGCCCGCCUGGCUAAUGGCCUCUCUGCUAAACGGGAGUAACCGGAGGCGAGGGGCCCCCCCAGGCGGAUGCGGGCCAGGCCGGGAGCAAAUCAGCAGAUUUAUUGAGGCAGCAGCGGCAUUGGGGAGCAGGGGGUGCGGAAAAGGGGCUGGGCCUCCGCGGGGUCCUUCCCUGGCGUUCAGGAGCCAGACGUGGAUGCACGGGGACCGCACGGACGGUGGCCUGGUUCUCUCCUCUGCGGGGUCAGUCUGUCCGCAGCCAGCAGCCCUUUUCCUCCACCUCCUUGGUCACCACCAGCAGCACCUCGCACAGGCCCUGAGCCAGUGCCCCCGCCAGGAAGGCCCUGGGCAGAGAAGGGAGGAGAUUGAGGCCCGGGGGCCCGCGCGCUGCCUCCUGGGGUGGGGGAGUCGGUCGCCGAGCCCCAGCCCGAGUCUCCGCCCCCUCACCUGACGCCGUCCUCGUCCCCCAGGGCCUCAGGCGCCCGCAGCUUGGAGUCCAGGUUGUAGUAGACGCCGUCCACCUGGCGGAGGGCCACCCAGUGCCGCCGGCGGAGCGGCAGGGACAGCAGCCCCAGAGACAUGGGUGAGGGCAGGUUCAGGAUCAGUCCCAGCACUUGGGGCAGGGCCAGCUGGGACAGGGGCCUGUGCGGGAGGGGUGGGGACGCCACCGUCUGGGUCCAGUGCGCAGCGAGCACCUGCCGGCCCAACGUCACUGAGCUCACGGGACCCAGGCUGGCGUGGCAGCAGUGGCCCCCCGAGCCUGCCCAAGGACUCUCCUCAGCGCCCCCUUCGGCUCCUCCCGCUCGCCCAGCACCCAGGCACCCAAACUCCCAGCCGUCUAACAACCACCCCCGCACCCAGCUGCCCGUGAACUGUCCACCCGAACGUCAUCCACCUAAUGACGCAACCGACCAGCCAGCCACCAACUCGGCUUACUCACCAUCCUCCCGAGUCCGCAUCCACUCGGAACCCGUCCAUCCGUCCAUCCAUCCAAUUAACUACUCAACCACCUAUUUGCUAUCCUUUAUUCACUCAACCACUCCUCUGCCCAUCCACACCCCCCCCCCCCCCCCCCCCCCACCAACCACCUACUCAACACGUCCAACUACCCUUUUACCAUCCACUUGGUCACCGGAUGACCAUCUCCCAACCCGUCGGCCUGCCCUCCACCCAGCACCCACCCGUGCCGACCUUCCCCCCGUCUGCCCCUUCUUUCUUCCCUCCUGCCCACCGGUUCCCCUCCUGCUGUCCCACCGCACCCAUGUGCCAGGCUCAGCACACAUGAUGAAGCGCUUGGGGUCCCACCUCCUUCGGUCCCACCACACGGUGGCCAGGCCCAGCCCCUGCAGGGCGGCCAUGAUCACGUUGACGUCAUAGUUGCCGGUGCCCAGGAGGCUGCGAUGGGGAUUCAGCCGGGAGUCUGGGGCCAACCUGGGCGGGGGAGGGUCAGAGCCUGAGACGGGGCCCCUGCAAAGGUCUCAUCCUCCCCACAACGCAGGAGAGUCCCGGGGCCCUUGAGUCACCCAGCCUUUGGACUCUUCCCUUUCCGCAGCCGCGUGGCUCAUCAGCCCCAAGCCUGAUUCCUCCUGUCCCCGACUCUCUCUGCCCCGUCCAGUAACCACAUUCUCCCCUCCCCCGCCCCCUCCCGCCUCAGGUCUUGUCCUCCUCCACCUGGAUCCUCAUCCAGCCUCCAGCCUCCCCUCCGAUCCCAGGGGCUCUUUCCACACCUGACACUGACCCCACCGCUCCCCUGUUCCCUGCCCUCCCUGGUGCCUUGUCACCCCAGGAUAAAGUCCUAGUCCCUCAGCUGGCCUCCUAGCCUCAGUCCCGCCCCACCCCCUCCCAGCCACCUGUCCCCAACCACAUCUCCUGUGCUCCCCUCUCAGUCUUUCCUCCUGCUAUCCCCCAGCUCAGGGGGCCCACCCCGCCACCACUUGGCUGUCUGGGUCCUGCCUUCUCCAAACAGUGGCACCUUUGUUCUUUCUCUGGGCCCUUGGUGGGCAGGGCAGGGGGAGGGGCCGGAGAGGAAAAGUCUGUGUAUUAUUUUCCUGUGCCUCUGUUUCCCUGGCCUCCCUCAGGGCAGGGCUCACACUGGACUCAUCUCUGGGUCUCCAGCAUGGCCUUGGUGUAAAAGAGUUGAUGGGUCCCUGUCGUGAAUGACAGAGAUGAAUAAAUUCUGCGAUAUUCAGUU